rnacentral:lncRNA from 1 species
UAUGAAGGCAGAGGCUGGGGGAGGCAAGAGUCUUAGCCUUGAGUCUGGUCUCAGAGUUUCUGCUUCCAGAUGCACUUUCUCUGGCCUCAGAACAUGGAGUGCUACCUUCAAGCAGGAAGAAAAUAAACCAUCGUGAUUUCUUUUAACAGCUUCAAUAACCAACAUGACAUUGUGAAGGACGUGCCAAUAUUUGUAAUCUCCCCUGACAAGUUGUUAAGUAUUUAUAGAAACAUUUUCUCCUGGCCCUGCUUAAGGAAAGUACUGUAUCUAAUUUCCUCUGGAGACAUGUGCUGGGGAAAAUCAGAAGGAUGAUCUGUCAUCAUAAAUAGCAAUAAAUAGUCGCCCUGGAAGAUUUGCUUGUUUAGCGAGGUUGCUUGAAUAUUAACAUCUCCCUUUAAUCUUGUCUCUGUGGGGAAAAGUUCAUGACAUAAGUAUGUGCUGAGCUCCAGGUUUGAGGGAAGCUCAAGGCUGGAGGUUGGUGACCUCUGAAGUCUGGAUCAGUCUGGGAAAACUCAGGACUGAAUUGGCCAAGCUCCAUCCUCAUGAGGGUUCCUCAGGGAACCGACAUCAGCUCCAACGAUGGAGCACACUGAUGGCAUCCUGGUGCUCAGAAGCUGGAUGAGAAGUUUGCAGUGUAAUGAGCUCCCCAUCACUUGUGGUAUACAAGCAACGAUUUGCUGCUUGCCUCUUGAUGCUGCUGAAGAUGAAAUCCAAAGUUCAGGGAUGAGGUUCCAACUUCUAUGCUUAUCAACAUAGAUCAAGCUGAGAACCCAGAGGAACAAACGAGGCUCAUGAACCAGAGACCUGAGCUGAUUUCUUGGUUAUUCUAGAUUGCUCUUUGGGAGAUUUCAGUCCAUGGUAUGGGGACAGUGCAAUGGGCUGGACGUUUGUGCCAACUUCAUACAUUGGAACUCUGCCUGUGUGGCUCUGCCUGGAGAUGGGGACUUUGGGAAGCAUUUGGAUCAGACAAUAGUGCUCCCCUGUAGAGAUGGGGCCCUUGUAAGAAGAGAAGAGAUGACUCGUUUCCUCUCAGAAUCUGGUGCCAUAUAAGGACACAGCAAGAAUCCAAGAAUCUGUGCCCACUGAAAUCUCUCUGAAAUCCCACCACCUAUCACUGUAAGAUCAGUCGCCCCAGCCUUCAGAAUGCGCCCUUCAGGUAAAUCACAUGUCCUGAGUGUCCUGGCCACUGUCACAGACUCCACAGACCAAUGGACCCUGCGAUCCCUAUGUUUUGUUGACCCAGUAAGAUCCCAGCUACUCUUGAUGGAAGCCAGUGGUGAUAAAAGUGAAUUCAGCUUCUUUGGUUUCGUUUGGUUUCCUGUCCUACUGUGAAGCAUCGAGAAGGCCAUUACUAGAGAACAGACUUCGAGGACUCCAGAAUCACAAGCUAAGACCACGGCUGUCUUCUUCUGGAGGCAGAUAGGAAGAAGAAGUUCAAGGUCUGAUCUGUCAUCUAACACCCUUGGCAAACCUCUCCCAAGAGGGAUCCCUAAAGAAAUGCUGCUCCUUUCUCUGAGUCACUGAAGACAUUUGGGGAUAAUUGGAUACCCAGCUUUGGGGCACCAAGUGGGCAGCUGGUGUUCACCUCCCCGAGGACCAUGCCAAGCUGGCAGGAAUCUGGUUCAUUGCUCUGUAAGUGAUUGCAGUGGGAGAGGAAAGAACAUGCCAUUCGCUCCA